rnacentral:rRNA from 1 species
GCUAGGAACAUUAAAUGGUUGAAUAAUGUGUGAAAGUACACGAGCGGCGGACGGCUGAGUAACGCGUAGGAAUGUACCCCAAAGUGAGGAAUAAGCAUCGGAAACGAUGUCUAAUGCCGCAUGUGAUCUACGGAUUAAAGCCUUCGGGCGCUUUGGGAGCAGCCUGCGUAAGAUUAGUUUGUUGGUGAGGUAAAAGCUCACCAAGACUACGAUCUUUAGCUGGUCUGAGAGGAUGAUCAGCCAGACUGGGAUUGAGACACGGCCCAGACUCCUACGGGAGGCAGCAGUAGGGAAUUUUCCACAAUGGACGAAAGUCUGAUGGAGCAACGCCGCGUGCAGGAUGAAGGCUUUCGGGUCGUAAACUGCUUUUAUGAGUGAUGAAUAUGACAGUAACUCAAGAAUAAGGGACGGCUAAUUACGUGCCAGCAGCCGCGGUAAUA